GCAACCAAAGAAGAAAAAGGGAUAGAUCGAGAAAGAGAGCAAAGGAGGGUGAUAAAGGAGGUGCCGUUACUGCUGCGUUCAAGUUUAGAAAAGAAAACCCUAGAAUUAUAUUAGCCGAAGAAAGAAGAGAAAGGGAGAGAAUAGAGGUAGAGAGACAACGAGAACGAAGAAGAAGGAGAUUAUAGAGAGAGGGCUGAGUAGGUUCCGCUACCGCUGCGUUCAAGUCCAAAAAUAAUAAGAUUGAACAAAGAAGAGAAAGGGAGAGAACAGAGAUAGAGAGACAAAUAGAACAAAGAAGAAGGUUAGAGAGAGAAGAAAACCUCAUUCAAGCUAUGGACUUGGAUCAAGCUAAUGCAUGAAUUAGGAGUGAUACUAAUUAUGGCAAGUAUGGUUGGGCUUUCCGGAUGGAUAAACCUUCACCUUCAUGUUUCAUAUGCUUUGGAUGGUUAAAGAUGCAACGAGUGACUCUUAAAGCAUAGUUGAAGACAAUGGAUAAUUCUUUUAUAUUUAAAAUUUCUCUAUUUUUUUGAAAGUCAUGUAGACUUUAAUAUGUAUUUAGGGAAAUUUGACAUUUGUAAUACAUUUUAAACAAUGGGUGUAUUUUUUUUUGGUAGAACAAGGGAUGUAUUCAAAUUUUGUGGCAUGUAUUUAAUUAUUACAAUUAUACAAGUAUUUUCUAGAA